rnacentral:rRNA from 1 species
AGUGAACGCUGGCGGCGUGCUUAACACAUGCAAGUCGAACGAGAACGGGAUAUAGCUUGCUAUAUUUGUCAGCUAAGUGGCGCACGGGUGAGUAAUGUAUAGAUAACCUGCCCUCUAGAAAGGAAUAACAGUUGGAAACGACUGCUAAUGCCCUAUAUGCCUUUAAUACAUAAGUAUGCAAGGGAAACGCUUUAGUGCUAGAGGAUGGGUCUGUAUGGUAUCAGCUUGUUGGUGAGGUAAUGGCUCACCAAGGCUAUGACGCCUAACUGGUUUGAGAGGAUGAUCAGUCACACUGGAACUGAGACACGGCCCAGACUCCUACGGGAGGCAGCAGUGGGGAAUAUUGCACAAUGGACGAAAGUCUGAUGCAACAACGCCGCGUGGAGGAUGACACAUUUCGGUGCGUAAACUCCUUUUAUAUAGGAAGAUAAUGACGGUACUAUAUGAAUAAGCAUCGGCUAACUCCGUGCCAGCAGCCGCCGUAAAAC